UGUCAGUUGCCAGGGUAAUGCUCUAGUGUGGUAACAGCAGAGCCAUCUCCAUCCUGUCAGGUGCCAGGGUAAUGCUCUAGUGUGGUAGAGCCAUCUCCAUCCUGUCAGUUGCCAGGGUAAUGCUCUAGUGUGGUAACAGCAGAGCCAUCUCCAUCCUGUCAGGUGCCAGGGUAAUGCUCUAGUGUGGUAGAGCCAUCUCCAUCCUGUCAGUUGCCAGGGUAAUGCUCUAGUGUGGUAACAGCAGAGCCAUCUCCAUCCUGUCAGGUGCCAGGGUAAUGCUCUAGUGUGGUAGAGCCAUCUCCAUCCUGUCAGUUGCCAGGGUAAUGCUCUAGUGUGGUAACAGCAGAGCCAUCUCCAUCCUGUCAGUUGCCAGGGUAAUGCUCUAUUGGCUCACUGAAAACUCCCUGCCAGAAUCCCAUCCCUUCCACAGCUCCAAAUAUGCAGAUUGUUAAGCUGCUUCGCGGCACA